UACGUAGGGUGCAAGCGUUGUCCGGAAUUAUUGGGCGUAAAGAGCUCGUAGGCGGUUUGACAAGUCUGAUGUGAAAUCUCUGGGCUCAACCCAAAGUCUGCAUUAGAAACUGUCGGGCUUGAGUAUGGGAGAGGUGAGUGGAAUUUCCGGUGUAGCGGUGAAAUGCGUAGAUAUCGGAAGGAACACCUGUGGCGAAAGCGGCUCACUGGACCAUAACUGACGCUGAGGCGCGAAAGCUAGGGGAGCAAACAGG
rnacentral:rRNA from 1 species